UACGUAGGGUGCGAGCGUUGUCCGGACUUACUGGGCGUAAAGAGCUCGUAGGUGGUUUGUCGCGUUGUUCGUGAAAACUCACAACUCAAUUGUGGGCGUGCGGGCGAUACGGGCAGACUGGAGUACUGCAGGGGAGACUGGAAUUCCUGGUGUAGCGGUGGAAUGCGCAGAUAUCAGGAGGAACACCGGUGGCGAAGGCGGGUCUCUGGGCCGAUACUGACGCUGAGGAGCGAAAGCGUGGGGAGCGAACAGG
rnacentral:rRNA from 1 species